GGCCCAGAUCGUUUACCGUGAAAAAAUUAGAGUGUUCAAAGCAGGCAGAUCCAAUUUUCUGCCACCGAAUACAUUAGCAUGGGAUAAUGGAAUAGGACCCUGUCCUCCUAUUUUCAGUUGGUUUUGGCAGCGCGAGGACUAGGGUAAUGAUUAAUAGGGAUAGUUGGGGGCAUUAAUAUUUAAUUGUCAGAGGUGAAAUUCUUGGAUUUAUGAAAGAUUAACUUCUGCGAAAGCAUCUGCCAAGGAGGUUUUCAUUAAUCAAGAACGAAAGUUAGGGGAUCGAAGACGAUCAGAUACCGUCGUAGUCUUAACCAUAAACGAUGCCGACCAGCGAUUAGGAGACGUUGAAUACAAAACACCACCAUCGGUGCGGUCGUCCUUGGCGUCUCGGUCCUUCACGGGGCCGGGGCGCGGGGGCGGCUUAGCCCGGUGGCUACCGGUGAAUGACUCCCCUAGCAGCUUGUGAGA
rnacentral:rRNA from 1 species